GACAGAGGUCCCGAGCGUUAGGCGGAAUCACUGGGCUUAAAGCGUGUGUAGGCGGAUCGUUAAGUGCCUUGUGAAAUCCCACGGCUUAACCGUGGAACUGCUUGGCAUACUGGCGGUCUUGAGCCAGCUAGGGGCUACCGGAACAAAUGGUGGAGCGGUGAAAUGCGUAGAUAUCAUUUGGAACGCCAAUGGUGAAAACAGGUAGCUGGGGCUGUGCUGACGCUGAGACACGAAAGCCAGGGGAGCAAACGGG
rnacentral:rRNA from 1 species